rnacentral:lncRNA from 1 species
AGAAGGUGAGAGACCCUGAAGGCAUGGGUGUCCAGUGAAAUGAAUUGUUUAUUUUUUCCUCACAAUGCAGGAAAGAGAAAAAGGAGAUAGAAGAAGUGGAAUAAGGGGAAAGAUAAGAACUGGAAAGCUGAACCAUAGCCCAGACCCAAGCAGGAGAAAGAGCAAGAAAUGCCUAUGAGAAAGCCGGAAAGAAACCCCUGGAAUUUGGAAGAAAAUGUCUAAAAGAUAGGAAGCUUGAUUCAAGAUGAUGUCCUAACCACCAUGGUCCCAAAAAAGGCUAAAGGAUGCUGGAAUGGCAAGGAACCUGAGGAACCAGCGUGAGGAAAACCUGGAUGAUCUGACGUCUUCCUCACUUUAUCCCUACCUGUCUACGCCUCCAUCCAUCCACCCAUCCAUCACUGAUCAAGCUCUCACUAUGUAUAUAGUGUAGAAGGUGCCACCAAAUGCAAUGGAACCUCUUGUCUCAUGUGUCUACUUGCAUCUUUAAGUUGAUACACAGAAGGCACAGUCCAAGCACAGGAUACUGGAAGCUAUGGAGGUACAGUGGCCUCUGAGCAAACUGAAAACUCUCUAUCACUAAAGGGUUGGACAUACAGGGUAUCUCCUCUGCUCUGCCACCUACCUUGAGGAUGCUUUACAUGUGGCUAAAAGUGGAGGCAGAGAUAUUUGGAUAAAUAAAUGCUAGAGAAUUGAAAAUUCCUAGGACAAGUCA